rnacentral:piRNA from 1 species
UNCCUAGUGAACACUGAGUUCCAGCCUGC